UACAGAGGUCUCAAGCGUUGUUCGGAUUCAUUGGGCGUAAAGGGUGCGUAGGCGGCGCGGUAAGUCACACGUGAAAUCCCCAGGCUUAACCUGGGAACUGCGUGUGAUACUGGAUGGCUUGAAUCCGGGAGAGGGAUGCGGAAUUCCAGGUGUAGCGGUGAAAUGCGUAGAUAUCUGGAGGAACACCGGUGGCGAAGGCGGCAUCCUGGACCGGUAUUGACACUGAAAAGCGAAAGCCAGGGGAGCAAACGGG
rnacentral:rRNA from 1 species